rnacentral:rRNA from 1 species
UAGGGAAUCUUCGGCAAUGGGGGGAACCCUGACCGAGCAACGCCGCGUGAGUGAAGAAGGUUUUCGGAUCGUAAAGCUCUGUUGUUAAGGAAGAACGAGUGUGAUAAUGGAAAGUUCAUACUGUGACGGUACUUAACCAGAAAGGGACGGCUAACUACGUGCCAGCAGCCGCGGUAAUACGUAUGUCCCGAGCGUUGUCCGGAUUUAUUGGGCGUAAAGCGAGCGCAGGCGGUUUUUUAAGUCUGAUGUGAAAGCCCACGGCUCAACCGUGGAGGGUCAUUGGAAACUGGAAAACUUGAGUGCAGAAGAGGAAAGUGGAAUUCCAUGUGUAGCGGUGAAAUGCGCAGAGAUAUGGAGGAACACCAGUGGCGAAGGCGACUUUAUGGUCUGUAACUGACGCUGAUGUGCGAAAGCGUGGGGAUCAAACAGG